GUUGGUGAGGUAAUAGCUCACCAAGGCGACGAUCAUUAGCUGGUCUGAGAGGAUGAUCAGCCAGACUGGGACUGAGAACGGCCCAGACUCCUACGGGAGGCAGCAGUAGGGAAUUUUCCACAAUGGACGAAAGUCUGAUGGAGCAACGCCGCGUGCAGGAUGAAGGCCCUUGGGUCGUAAACUGCUUUUAUAUGUGACGAUUAUGACGGUAGCAUAUGAAUAAGGAUCGGCUAACUCCGUGCCAGCAGCCGCGGUCAUACGGAGGAUCCAAGCGUUAUCCGGAAUUACUGGGCGUAAAGAGUUGCGUAGGUGGCAUUGUAAGUUGGUAGUGAAAGCGUUCGGCUCAACCGAAUAUACAUUAUCAAAACUACAAAGCUAGAGGAUGAGAGAGGUUAUUGGAAUUCCUAGUGUAGGAGUGAAAUCCGUAGAUAUUAGGAGGAACACCGAUGGCGUAGGCAGAUAACUGGCUCAUUCCUGACACUAAGGCACGAAAGCGUGGGUAGCAAACGGGAUUAGAUACCCCGGUAGUCCACGCUGUAAACGAUGGAUGCUAGCUGUUAUCGGUAUCGACCCCGGUAGUAGCGAAGCUAACGCGUUAAGCAUCCCGCCUGUGGAGUACGGUCGCAAGACUAAAACUCAAAGGAAUUGACGG
rnacentral:rRNA from 1 species